ensembl:lncRNA
UUUUUUUUUUUUUUGGCUGUUCCCUCAGCGUAUGGAAGUUCCUAGGGCCAGGGAUCAAAUCCAAGCUGCAGCUGCAGCAAUGCUGGACCCUUAACCCACUGCACCAGGCCAGGGAUGCAACCCCCAACCACCUCAGAGACAACACAGGAUUCUUAAUCUGCUGUGCCACAGUGGGAACACCUUACUAUACUUUCAAUAAGGCUUUAUACCUUGCUAAUGUAUUUAUACAUAAGGAAGGUGAAGGCUGAAACAAGUAGCUGAUCUUCCUGAUAUUUUUUAAGACAACAUGGUUGUAUUUUUCCUUGGACCCACAGGAUGAUCCGCAUAGAUGGGAAUCUGAAGAGUGUCCUAAUGUGAGCUCCCUAUCAGAGAUCAGACACUAGAUGGAAGAGUUCAGUGCUGUAAUUUUUCUACUCAUUCGGAGAGUAAACCAAAUGGAGGCAUUAAAAUUAGGGUGUGGGUGUGACAGUUUGCCCACAGUUUGCCUGGGCUUGCCAGGGUUUGUGUAUAUGUGAGUCUUCCCUUAUAGACUGUACAUUCUAGAAUUAAGUACGUGUAUUGACACAUGAUAAGUACUCGAGAGAAAAAAUAAACGGGGGUGGAGGCACUAAGGAUUGCUUUCAGCAUCCAAACACCCAUGCCCCGCUUCAUCACAGGAAUCAUAAGACUAGAAGUCAGGAUCACACAUUGGCAGCCAAAGGUGACUGACUCCAGCAAGCCAACUGAGGACAAGGCAAGUUGGGGAUGACCAUGUCCUGGCUUCUUUCUGUCGCUGACUGCUAUUUUAUGAGAAACAAGCAGAGUCUUAAAAACUGCACCCAUUGGUUGUUUCAGCUUUUGAACACUUCAUUCCUAUAUUUCUCUCUCCACUAAAAUGUGGCAUCUUCUUUUCCCCUUGGAGCAUCUUAUGAAAAAUAGGUUCUUUUCUCUCUCAAGUUCAGUUUCUGUAGUACACUUACAUAAUUAUACUCAAAACAUUUCACUUGAGUGUACUCCUUUCUCCUCUUAUUUGUUUCUGAUAUUUUAUGGAAAAUUACUGACUUGAUGAAACACUCUAUUUCUAAGUAUAUCUUCAGGCAAAAGAGGAAGGAGUGGAUUUACAGACAGUGCAUAAACCCAACAUUAUGGAUAUCUUCCAACAAACUGAUAUUUACAACGAGCAGGCAAUUUCUGCCCUACUUCCAAGAAGACAUAAAAUUUUCUAGAAUCCACAACACAUCAUAUGGACAACAGAAAGAAAUUUCAGGCAGCUAUUUCCUCAUGAAAAAGGGACAAAGCAACAAACCCAAAACUUCCUGGGAUAUCAAAGUCGUUACACCAGGAUAGGAUAUUAAUUUCAAAUAUAGUUUAAAUGUUACAACUGUCAGAAUAAUAAAAAAAAAAUCUUGAAGUAAAUACUAAAAAUUACCCUGCAGUCUAGGCUACUUUACUCUUCUACAUUAUUUUCAAUAUUUUAAAGAUAACCCUUUAAAGUGUAAAUGUUUAUUAUAGAAAAUAUGAAAAAUGAAAAAAAUCAUGUAAAGAAAAUAAAAAAUUCACCUGCAAUAUACCACCCAGGGAUAAGAGACUUUAAAAUACUGAUAUAUAGUUGAACCUUGAACAUAGGCUGAAGUGUAUGGGUCACUUUUUCAAUAAAUAUGUAUAGUACUAUACCAUCCACAGUUAGUUGAAUCUGCAGAUAUGGAAUUACAGAUAUAGACGGUGGACUGUAAAGUUAUAAGCAGAUUUUCAACUGUGUGGUGGGGUCAGUCCCUCUAACUGCCCCCCAUUGUUGUUAAACUGUAUUAUGCAAAUACAGAAGACCUCUUAUUUAUUGUAAGCAGUCUAAAAAGUCAGUUAAAACAGAAAUAAAAAAUUACACUAAAUUUUUUUGGAAGCUGUGCUGGUGGCAGACAAAAGUCCCUGGGCCAGAGAUCGAAUCUGUGCCACUGCAGUGACCUGAGCCACAGCAGUGACAACCCCAGAUCCUUUAUCUGCUAGGCCACUAGGGAAUUCCUAUAUUAAAUAUUUUAAUAGACUUUAUAUGUUGCCUUUUCAGAUUGGCUUCUUUCACAUAAUAAUAUGUAUGUCCAGUAAGAUUCUACCAUCUGUUUUCACAGUUGAUAGGAUGAUUUCUUUUUGCUCUGAAUAAUAUUCCAUUGUCUGGAAGUACCAGUUUAUUUACCCAUUCACUUACUGAAGGACAUCUUUGUUGAAUGCAGGUUCUAGCAAUUAUGAAUAGAGCUGCUGCUACAAACAUCCAUGUGCAGGUUUUUACAUGGACUUAAGUUUUCAACUCUUUUGGAAAAUAGUAAGGAGUAUGAUUCCUGGAUCAUAUGAUAAAGGUAUGUUUAGUUUUGUGAGAAACUUUCAAUCUUUCAAAGUAACUGUACCAUUUGGCUUUCCCACCAGCAAUGAAUGAGAGUUCCUCUUACUCUACAUCCUCAUCGGCAUUUAGCAUUGUCAGUGUUCUGGGUUUUGUCUACUACUCUAAUGCUUGUGUAGAGCUAUCUCAUGGUGGUUUUAAUUUGCAAUUCCCCAAUGACAUAUAGUGUUGAGCAUCUUUCAUAUGCUCAUUCGCCAUCUAUAUAUAUAUUCCUUCGUGAGGUGGCUCUUCAGGUCUCUCACCCAUUUUUAAUUGGGUUGUUGUCUCUUACUGUUGAGUUUUAAGAGUUCUUGGUAUGUUUUCACUUAUCGUCCUUUAUCAGUCAUGUCUUUUGCAAAUAUU